AGCCUCCAGGCCUUGGGCAGCCAGACAGGGGUCCCUGGGGGCCAGGCUCUGAGGGGGAGAGCCUGUCCCCAGGGCUGGCUGGUAGAUAGAAGCAUGUGGGAGGCUCAGAGGAGGGCAGAGACUGCAGAGAACACGUGGGGCUGGAGUUCACGUGUGGGAAGUUUCUCCACAGACUCAACUAAUAAAAGUGGCCUCUUCGGGCGACAUUCUGUGCGAAAAGCAGCUUUCAAGCUG